rnacentral:lncRNA from 1 species
AUGAGGGGUGAACUCAACAUUGACCGUUUGAAGAUCUUGGCUGAUCCUGGUUUGCCCCUGAGGGGUUUACUUCAGUUACUCAUGGUCCACCGUGGCCCAGAAAAAAAUGAUCCUUCUCCUGACCCAUCAUCAGAAAGUCAAUGGCGGCCUAACGCUGUGUCACAUCUCGUCAUCAAAAGAAGAAGAAAGGACGUUUGCUGGAAAAGGCCCUUUCUUACUACAACAGGGGUACCUGUUACUGUCCAAGAAUGUGGGGCGUCACCAUUAACUGGAAGGCACAUGAGAAGUGUAGCUUCGGAGUGUGCAUUGCACAUCCAGGUUCUAUGUGAACUUGGGCAAACAGGAAAAACCGGUCUCAUCUGCCUAGUCGGUUCCAGUGGCUUUAUUUUCCAUCUUGUUCGCCCUCUGCUGGUUUUUCAGAAGAAGAACACGAAUGUCUGCAGCUGGUGUGUGAAGAAUGGAUUAGAAGAAGUCAAGAAUAUAACAAAGUGAGACCACCCAGAAGAACAGGGUCCAGACUGACUCGCAAGCAAGGCUCGAGAGUGGAACGUGGAGCAGAUGAACCAGCGUGGAGAGCACGCCAUGAGCACCAAACGGGUUUGCUGGCACUGGGGGGAGGGGGACAGAUCAGAAGUCCAGUUAUAUGUGUGUGGAUUUUGACCUGGACUGGAAAUAUAACUUACAAAGUCCUUAGCAUGUAAUUUGAGCCAAGGAAAGGGAUUCUGUUGCAGUGGGAGAAAUGAAGGAAAAACCUGAAGCAAAAUACUUCAAGGCAUUUCAAUAUAUAAGGUUAAGACAAGGAGGACAAGCCGACAAGUGAUACCAAGAAAGGGCAACCGGGCAUUUAAGAACCAAAGUAGGACAGCAUAGCAUCAGAGAGGCAAGGAAAACAGUUCUUCAUGAAGGAAGAAAUUAACCGAGUCGUGGGGGCAGACGCCAGAUUGCGGGGGGUUGAAGAAUGAAUAGCAGGUGACAGGAGGCAAGGAAUGUAGCCAGUGGAAGGGAAUUCGAGAAUGUUGGCCGCGAAGGGGUGAAAUUUCCAUUUUGGACGCAUUGAACUGGAUAUGCUCAUAUGGUGUUGAAGUGGUGAAGUCCAGAAAGAGCCAGAUCUAGGGAAAAAAACUAUGGCUGAUGGACAUGUCUUGCAUGCAGAAAUAGAUUCGGUUUGCAAGAGUGUAAGCGGUGUGGAAACCUGAGGUUAGAUGAAAUUACCAGAAAGAGCAUGAGGCGCAGCAACAUAAGGCAGAAAUGGAGACAGAGCAAAGCAAAUGCUUAAAGGGGAAGCCAAAAGAAGCAGAGCCUGGGGACAGGGAGAUGAAUAAUUGGCAGAGAGGCAGGAAGAAAAGCAGGAGAGCGUGAGCUUGAAGGCUAGAAAGCCUGGAGUUUCAGGAAGAGCAAAAUGCUGCAAAUAAGUCAGAGCAAGAUCAAAAACCAAUCUUUGGAUUUAACGUUUGAACGUCAUUUAAGACUUUAGUAUGAUAAAUUUCUGUUGUGUUUUACAGUUAGAAGCCAGAUCAUAAAGGGUUCAUUAAAAUAUGGAGAAGUUAGCGGGGAGCCUGGGUGGUUCAGUCAAUUAAGUGUCUGCCUUCUGCUCAGGUCAUGAUCUCAUGAUUUCAGGGUCCCGGGAUGGAGCCCCGUAUCGGGCUCCCUGCUCAAUGGGGAGUCUGCUUCUCCCUCUUUCUCUGCCCCUCCCCCCAACGUGUGCUCAGUCUCUCUCUCAAAUAAAUAAAUAAAAUGUUUAAAAAUUGGGCGCCUGGGUGGCUCAGUGGGUUAAAG